rnacentral:rRNA from 1 species
GACGAACGCUGGCGGCGUGCUUAAUACAUGCAAGUCGAACGGACAGGCCCGGCGCUUGCUGCGUGCUCGUGUGCCGAACGGGUGUGUGACACGCGUGUAUCCCGCCCUUGUCUUUGUGGGAUCUUCACGAAACAGCGGCUCUUACCGCAUAUGAGCUCCUGCUGCACGGUGUUGGUUGGUAAGAUUCGGCGGUUGGGGCUGGACUCGCGGCUUAUCAGCUGGUUGGUCUGGUAGUGGCUGACCAGGCUUUUGACGGAUAGCCGGCCUGAGAGGGUGACCGGCGACAAUGGGACUGAGAUACGGCGCAGACGCGUACGGGACGCAGCAGUGGGGAAUAUUGCACAGUGGGCGGAAGCCUGAUGCAGCAGCGCCGCGUGCGGGAUGACGGCCUUCGGGUUGUAAACCGCUUUCGCCUGUGACGAAGCGUGAGUGACGGUAAUGGGUAAAGAAGCACCGGCUAACUACGUG